rnacentral:misc_RNA from 1 species
AACUUUAUCUCUAGCCUUUAAUUUAAAUACAUGUCGUUUUUCUUCCUCCAAUUCUUAAUUUUCAUUUAAUCAAAAAGAAAUAUAUAUCCUGAAGAAAAUUUCUGCAUGGGACAAACUAUUAUGGGGGGUAUAUAUUGUACUAAUAUUAACAAUGAAAAAAAUACAUAUAUUUAAAGAAUAAAAAUCAAUCUACUUGACAAGGAUUCUUCGUGCACAACCAGAACUGAUGGUUAGAUUGGAUUUGGAACAAUCUUGUGGGUGAUGCAACGAAAUCAAGUUUUUUGCUAUUAAUUUUUGAAUCCCUUUUACGUUUUACUUGAAAUAGU